GCCCGUGUAGCUCAGCUGGUAGAGCUUUGUACUUAUGAGGUUAUCUGGCCUGGUUUGUGAUAUGCAAGGGUCCCGAGUUCGAUCCUCGGCGUGGGCA